GGGGAGUCUACGGCUUUCUCUCUGUCUGAGAUUUAUCCGCUGCAAAGUGAAGGCUUAACUUAAGGUCACACAAUCACAAACAUCAUUCAUUUUUCUAACGUAUUAAAUGUGUGUUUGUUUAGGCACCAGGGAGAAGAGCGAGGUGUCCAGGCUUACUACAAGCCCUCCUCCAGCCCGUCUGUCCAUGGCUUCCUCGGGGCCGGGGAGCUCGACAGACCUCUGGACAGACUGUGGAACGUAAUCUGCCAGCUGUCCAAGAGCCACAUGUACAAUCAGUCGGUCCGCUCUGUCUGGACUCGACCACUAGAUGACAGCACUCAGCUGGUUUAUAUCCUAACAGAUCCGUCCACCUGCCAUCUCAGCCAGCCGCGGGACUUCUGCUGCAUCAGCACCGAGUCCAAACAGGGUGGCUUGUGCGUGCUGGCAAUGCAAGUCUGUUUUCGAGGAGUCUCUGCCGCGUCCCAGUGUGGAUGCAGUCAGAGGGGAGAUGAUGCCGAGCUGCUGGGUCCUGCAGCCAAUUAUACGUAGUGGACAGGAAGCCACCAGGGUCAUCUACCUGCAACAGGUGGACCUGGGAACUCCAUCCUUCCCUCACCGACUGUUGAACACUGUUACCAGAAGACACGCAGCCGUCAUCGCUGAUCUCGACGUUUUCCUCGCUAAAUCCGCCGGACCGAUGAAGACGCCUCGGCACUAUGCAGACGCUGAUCACAGGCGGGACUGUUCUCAGUCAAAGCCGCGUCGGCUGGAUCCAGAUAUGAAGCCAUAUUAUUUACAGUAGUCGGAGGUUCGCGACGAUGUGUUGGCAGCGAUCGGUUUGAGACUAAAGAUGUUCCCGGAGCAACCAAAGAGAGAAACUGACACACACUGAGAAUAGAGACAACCUUUUGUACUGAGUUCUUUUUUUUAUGCGUUUCUAUAUAUUUUUAAGUGCUCGUUUCAUUUUGUAUAAAAAAAACAAAAACCUUGUUAUUUAUGUUUUGACGAUGUGUUGUAAAUGUAUUUUAUUAUAAACACUCUGCUUCCUGUUGCUAAUGAGAUGUUAUGUUUGUUUUUUAUGAAUACAAUAAAUAUUUAAAGUCACUUUUUUUUUUACCGUCUGUUUGUUUGUGUG
rnacentral:lncRNA from 1 species